rnacentral:rRNA from 1 species
AUUGAACGCUGGCGGCAUGCCUUACACAUGCAAGUCGAACGGUAACAGGUUAAGCUGACGAGUGGCGAACGGGUGAGUAAUGCAUCGGAACGUGCCCGGUCGUGGGGGAUAACGCAGCGAAAGCUGCGCUAAUACCGCAUACGGUCUGAGGAUGAAAGCGGGGGACCGUAAGGCCUCGCGCGAUCGGAGCGGCCGAUGUCAGAUUAGGUAGUUGGUGGGGUAAAGGCUCACCAAGCCAACGAUCUGUAGCUGGUCUGAGAGGACGACCAGCCACACUGGGACUGAGACACGGCCCAGACUCCUACGGGAGGCAGCAGUGGGGAAUUUUGGACAAUGGGCGAAAGCCUGAUUCAGCAAUGCCGCGUGCAGGAAGAAGGCCUUCGGGUUGUAAACUGCUUUUGUACGGAGCGAAAAGGUCUCCUCUAAUACAGGGGGCUCAUGACGGUACCGUAAGAAUAAGCACCGGCUAACUACGUGCCAGCCGCCGCAGUAA